UACGUAGGGUGCAAGCGUUGUCCGGAAUCACUGGGCGUAAAGGGCGCGUAGGCGGCUCAUGAAGGCUGUGGUGAAAGUCCGGGGCUCAACCUCGGAUCGGCCGUGGCGACUCGUGGGCUGGAGCACUGUAGAGGCGGGUGGAAUUCCGGGUGUAGCGGUGGAAUGCGUAGAGAUCCGGAAGAACACCAGUGGCGAAGGCGGCCCGCUGGGCAGUGGCUGACGCUGAGGCGCGACAGCGUGGGGGAGCAAACAGG
rnacentral:rRNA from 1 species